AGAUAGUGCCGCGUGAACUGUCCUUCCGAAGACCUUGAUACUGGCCAUGAGGAAGGAACUGCCAUGAUUCAGAAUUUAAAUUCUAAAAUGGUGGAAGAGAGGAAUGCUGCAGUGUCUUCACAAAUGGUUAUGCAGGGAACUGACAAUUCCCUUUGGAUGCUAAAUAGCAACACUGAAUGUGAGCAGCUCAUCCCUCUGGAACUUUCCAUUGUCAAGACUUUCUGAAGCUAAAUGUGUCACAUGGACCCCUUAGAAGCAUGGAGAAAAUAUUGUCAUCUGCACUUCAACUACUGGAUUAGAAUAUAUAUCAGGAGUUGUAUACAAAUGUUACAUAUGGAUCAUCUCAACCAGUAUGUACUGACAUUUGAGAGCUCUUCCUAAUGAAGCUUAUAGAUUGUUAUUCUGAUAUUCCUAGCUGUAAUUUAGCUCAUUGCAUAUCAAUAAAUAUUUAUUAAGUGAAUAAUGACUUCAAUAUAGAACUAAGGAAGAUCAUUUUAAAAAAUAAAAAUGCCCAA